rnacentral:rRNA from 1 species
CGAACGCUGGCGGCGUGCUUAACACAUGCAAGUCGAACGGAAAGGCCCUGCUUUUGUGGGGUGCUCGAGUGGCGAACGGGUGAGUAACACGUGAGUAACCUGCCCUUGACUUUGGGAUAACUUCAGGAAACAGGGGCUAAUACCGGAUAGGAGCUCCUGCUGCAUGGUGGGGGUUGGAAAGUUUCGGCGGUUGGGGAUGGACUCGCGGCUUAUCAGCUUGUUGGUGGGGUAGUGGCUUACCAAGGCUUUGACGGGUAGCCGGCCUGAGAGGGUGACCGGCCACAUUGGGACUGAGAUACGGCCCAGACUCCUACGGGAGGCAGCAGUGGGGAAUAUUGCACAAUGGGCGGAAGCCUGAUGCAGCAACGCCGCGUGCGGGAUGACGGCCUUCGGGUUGUAAACCGCUUUCGCCUGUGACGAAGCGUGAGUGACGGUAAUGGGUAAAGAAGCACCGGCUAACUACGUG